CACAGUUAUUAGCUUUUCCAGGCGAAAUGUCUUCCAUAUUUGCAGAUCCAGGAAAAGAGAUUGCUUUUGUGCUGGAUGGCUCUGGCAGUGUUGAUCCUCCUGACUUUGAAUUGGCUAAACAAUUUAUUGCUGAUGUAAUGACAACAGUUUGGUCAAAAUGUUUUAAUUGCAAGUUUGCAGUUGUGCAAUAUGGAAACUUUGUCAAAACUGAACUUUCACUGAAGGAAAAUGACAACAGAACCAAAGCCUUGACUACAGUUGCAGACAUAAAGCAAAUCAAACAGGUCACCAUGACAGCUUCAGCAAUCAAUCACGUUCUAGAACACAUUUUUGUCAAAGAAGAUGGAUCAAAUGAGAAUUCUAAAAAGUAUAUAAUUGUGAUAACUGAUGGACGUAUAUAUAUGGACAGAAUGACACUGAAAGAGGUUUUGCAAAACCCCAAAAUAGAAAAGAUCACCCGCUUUGCUAUUGGGAGAACAAUGCACAUCAACAAUCUUUCCCAUCCCUUCCACCUCACAGACACCAAUAAGGACAGAUGAUGUGGGUGAUGAUGAUGAAGAUGAUGAUGAAGACGAAGAGGAGAAAUAAGUUUGUCCAUGAUUUCCCUUUUAGAGAACAAUGCACAUCAUCAAGCUAUGAAUAAGGACUGAUGGUAAAUCUUAUCAUGUUUUCAAUACAAUGUAAUGCAUUUGACAACGUAAAC